UGAGUAACCUGCCCUUAACUCUGGGAUAAGCCUGGGAAACUGGGUCUAAUACCGGAUAUGACUCCUCAUCGCAUGGUGGGGGGUGGAAAGCUUUUUGUGGUUUUGGAUGGACUCGCGGCCUAUCAGCUUGUUGGUGAGGUAAUGGCUCACCAAGGCGACGACGGGUAGCCGGCCUGAGAGGGUGACCGCGCAC
rnacentral:rRNA from 1 species